rnacentral:lncRNA from 1 species
AUUUGACAAAUAAAUGGACCAAUGAUAACAAUUUAACCAACUUUUUGUUUUUAACUCAGUCUAGCACAGCUGGAUGACCUGCUUCAAAAUUCAAGGCACAAUCGAAAGCACUGGACAAAAUUCAGAUUUACUCUGACAACAAAGGUCUGAGGCAAGGAUUGCUGAUGUGGAGUCAAAGAGAAGUCCAGACGGGAGAAGACGAGCUAGCAUCCCAGAUAUUUCCGUGUAGCCCUCCAGAUCCACUCCCCACUCUUCCCCACCCUGUUCUGUGCCCCAGCUGCUGAUCUGUAGGACCUGCAGCAAGGUACCUGCUCUUUGGCUUCCCACUGUGUUAUCCAGAGGAAUGCAUUGACAGAGAAUCAGCAAGGAGAAAAGUUGGACCUGUAUUCCCCAGACAUCUUGCUGCUGGGCCCCCUCAGACUUUUCACUACAAUGAACAAUAUUUCACUGACUCUCCGUAGGAAAAUUUCUCUAAGGUUCUUAUGGCAUUGCUGGGCAAAAAGAAAAAAAAAAUUUAGAUACCUUGACUUUGAGGUACUAUGCUAUUGAGUGCCAAAAUGGAAUUUUUACAGUAUAGUUGGCCCUCUAUAUCUGACAGUUCCACAUCCAAG